rnacentral:rRNA from 1 species
GACGAACGCUGGCGGCGUGCUUAACACAUGCAAGUCGAACGGGAAGUCCGUGUUUUGGUGGGGUGGUCGAGGGGCGAAGGGGUGAGUAACCCGUAAGUUACGUGUCCUUGACUUUGGGAUAACUUCAGGAAAGUGGGGCUAAUAGCGGAUAGGAUUUCUUGCUGCAUGGUGGGGGUGGGUUAGUUUCGCCGGUUGGUAGUGGACUCGCGGCUUAUCAGGUUGUUGGUGGGGUAGUGGCUUACCAAGGCUUUGACGGGUGGCAGGCCUGAGAGGGUGACCGGCCAAAUCGGGACUGAGAUACGGCCCAGCCUACUACGGGAGGCAGCAGUGCAGAAUAUUGCACAAUAGGAGGCAGCCUGAUGCAGCAACGCAGCGUGGGGGAUGACGGCCUUCGGGUUGUAAACCGCUUUCGCCUGUGACGAAGCGUGAGUGACGGUAAUGGGUAAAGAAGCACCGGCUAACUACGUG